CCUACGGGAGGCAGCAGUGAGGAAUAUUGGUCAAUGGACGCGAGCCUGAACCAGCCAAGUCGCGUGAGGGAAGACUGUCCUAUGGAUUGUAAACCUCUUUUGUCUGGGAGCAAAAGACGCCACGCGUAGCUUUCCGAGAGUACCCUAAGAAAAAGCAUCUGCUAACUCCGUGCCAGCAGCCGCGGUAAUACGGAGGAUGCGAGCGUUAUCCGGAUUUAUUGGGUUUAAAGGGUGCGCAGGAGGAAGAUAAAGUCAGUGGUAAAAUUGUGAGGUGAACCCUCUUAGAGCCGUUGAAACUGGUUGUCUUGAGUGAGUGAGAGGUAUGCGGAAUGCGUGGUGUAGCGGUGAAAUGCAUAGAUAUCACGCAGAACUCCGAUUGCGAAGGCAGCACACCGGAGUUCAACUGACGCUCAUGCACGAAAGUGUGGGUAUCGAACAGGAUUAGAUACCCGAGUAGUC
rnacentral:rRNA from 1 species